rnacentral:misc_RNA from 1 species
UCCUGGUUUCCCAGGCAGUCCUAUCAGAGUGCCUUCUUACGAAGUAGCAACUGAUAGCAAGGGUUGCGCUCGUUAUAGGACUUAACCCAACAUCUCACGACACGAGCUGACGACAGCCAUGCAGCACCUGUGCAAAUGUCCAGGGUUUCCCCUGGAAAACUACAUCUCUGUAGCGAUCAUAAGCAUGUCAAACCUAGGUAAGGUUCCUCGCGUAGUGUCGAAUUAAACCACAUGUUCCACCGCUUGUGCGGACCCCCGUCAAUUCCUUUAAGUUUUAAUCUUGCGACCGUAGUCCCCAGGCGGAUCACUUAUCGCGUUAGCUACGACACUAAAUUCGCAAAGCGAAUCUAACGUCUAGUGAUCAUCGUUUACGGCGUGGACUAC